rnacentral:rRNA from 1 species
CCUAUGUGUGGCAGCAGUGAGGAAUAUUGGUCAAUGGACGAGAGUCUGAACCAGCCAAGUAGCGUGAAGGAUUACUGCCCUAUGGGUUGUAAACUUCUUUUAUAAAGGAAUAAAACGAGUCUCGUCUUCCUUUUUUCAUUUCCUUUAUUAAUAAGAAUCGUCUAACGCAGUGCCAGCAUCCUUGGUAAUACGGCGGAUCCGACCUUUACUAGGAUUUUUUGUGUUUAAAGGGCUCGUAGGUGGGAUGGUAAGUCAGUUGGGAAAGUUUGCGGAUCAACCGUAAAAUUGCAAUUGAUACUGGCAGUGUUGAGUACAGUUGAGGUAGGCGGAAUUCGUGGUGUAGCGGUGAAAUGCUUAGAUAUCACGAAGAACCCCGAUUGAGAAGGCAGCUUACUAACCUGUGACUGACAUUGAUGCUCGAAAGUGUGGGUAUCAAACAGGAUUAGAGACCCUAGUAGUC